UACCAGCACCCCGAGUGGUCGGGACGAUUAUUGGGCCUAAAGCAUCCGUAGCCGGUUCUACAAGUCUUCCGUUAAAUCCACCUGCUUAGCAGAUGGGCUGCGGAAGAUACUAUAGAGCUAGGAGGCGGGAGAGGCAAGCGGUACUCGAUGGGUAGGGGUAAAAUCCGUUGAUCCAUUGAAGACCACCAGUGGCGAAGGCGGCUUGCCAGAACGCGCUCGACGGUGAGGGAUGAAAGCUGGGGGAGCAAACCGG
rnacentral:rRNA from 1 species